GGGUCAGGCCUUUUAUAACUUUUUUGAGCAAAGUUAAGACAGUUCUGAAAGCGCAUGCUGCUCUCUGAAUUUUACUCAACAGUAGUUGCAAUUGUUCUGAGGCCCCCCUCUCCCAAUAGCUUUUCUGGAAGUAUUUCCGCCUAACAGAAGACUUUUUUUUACUUCAAGGAAGAUUGGAUGUGACUGGCACAGCAAUUCACUGGAGGUAUUCAGCGUUUAGGGGACUGGUUUUAUUUCAAUGCUAAUGCUCUCGUUUAAUGCCAGAUUAUUCUCUUUUCUUUGUGAAAGGUCUGGAAAAUAGCCAUGGCUUCUCCCCUUCAAAAACUGCAAGUAUGAACCUUUUCCAGAGCUGAUACAACGUGAUAGCCAUGGGAAUUACUUCACUCUGUAACUAAAUGCCAUUUUACUGUUACAAAGCCAUUGUGUGACAUUGGUUUUGAUACAGGGAAUGUAGAAUCAUGCAGAGAAGUUUAGCUAACUUCAAUUCAUUCUGCACAGGAAAAGGGUCUGUAGCUUCCCAGCAUACUGAAAUGAAUUUUUAAAUAUCCUUUUUGAGCAUUUUUGCUGCAUGUACAUUUUUUAAAAUAUAACCAAACAUGUUACUGUAUUGCUGACCCAUUUAACAGAUCUGUUUCUAAAAGAGUCAAGCCUGUUUUAGCUUUGAGAAAGAAAUUUAAUUGAAGGUCGUUAUAUUCAUGUUUUGAACCCAGGACCUUGGGACCUGCUUUGCAGUGGCAUAGGAGUUGAGGGAACUCAACAUCCCAAUGGAGGUAUUAAGAACUUUGCAGGAGGGAGCCAUGUUCAGCAGGGGGUGCGUGCUCAAAAACAUUUUACUGAUGGGGUGCGCGAUAAAAAAGUUUGGAGACCACUGGCCUAGGAAAUUCAAUACUCUAUGGAGUUUAGGAACUUGCACAUUAUGGAAAAUCCCAGUCAACAAGCACAGCUGAUAUCCACAAGAGAGCCCCAGCCUUCUCCCCACUGCCACCUGCUAUUCCUGUAUCAGACUGGCAGAAGCAAAAUCAAGAAGAGCUCUACUUCUCCCUUCUGCAGUUCCCUCCCAAUGGAGCUAUCCUGCAGGGCCUAGGUUCCCCAGUGCUGGGGUCCUGAAGCCCCGGAAUCAGAUGAACACACA